rnacentral:lncRNA from 1 species
AUCAGGAAGUGUGCCAGUUACUGAGGACUUGUCACAAAGUCAUUCGCCGUCAAAGGCAGUUGUGGGAAACCAGGGUGCUUCGCCAAUUCAAGGAUCAAAUCCUUCGAGCCCUGUGUCUACCCACCCUGAGAUUCCAACUCAGGAUCCAACUAAGGACUCACUACUUUCGAGUAGUUGGCAACUUGUUUCUUAUGACUCAGAUUCAUCUGACGAGGAAACUGAGGACGAAGGCUCACGAACCUUCAUUGCACCUUCUGUGACCUCUCUAGAAGAGGCUAAGAAGAUUUCUUCUGCAGGUACAUCUAAGGAUGCUGGAAUGUCUUUGAGUGAGAGGGAAACACCAACAGAACUUGAUAUACAGAAACCCUCUGACCCACUGAGUGCUCUAGCUUUGAGUGAAACGAGAGAAACACCUACAGAACGCACUAGUGAGAACCCAACUGCCCAACCUACACCACUUCCAACUGUAUCUGUGACAGAAUUUGAAGCUCUGAAAUUCAAAGUUUAACAUUUAGAAGCUGAGAAUCUUGUUCUACGGGAGGAGUUGGUAGAGAUCAAAUCAACAAUGGAACAAAGGUUAGCUGCCCUGGAGGCUAAGUUGCUGGCAUCUCAACCUUCCAGAGAGGAUUACUCAACUGAGGGGGAGAGAGCAGCAGAAAAAGCAAAGGGAAAGAGGGUGAUAACAGGGGUGUCUGAAGAACUGAUUGAUUCUGC